rnacentral:rRNA from 1 species
CCUACGGGUGGCUGCAGUCGAGAAUCUUUCACAAUGGGCGAAACCCUGAUCCUGCGACGCCGCGUGGGGGAAUGAUGGUCUUCGGAUUGUAAACCCCUGUCAUGUGGGAGCAAAUUAAAAAGAUAGUACCACAAGAGGAAGAGACGGCUAACUCUGCGCCAGCAGCCGCGGUAAUACAGAGGUCUCAAGUGGUGUUCGGAAGCACUGGGCGUAAAGCGUGCGGAGGCUGUUUCGUAAGUCGUGUGUGAAAGGCGCGGGCUCAACCCGCGGACGGCAGAUGAUACUGCGAGACUAGAGUUAUGGAGGGGGAACCGGAAUGCUCGGUGUAGCAGUGAAAUGCGUAGAUAUCGAGAAGAACACUCGUGGCGAAGGCGGGUUCCUGGACAUUAACUGACGCUGAGGCACGAAGGCCAGGGGAGCGAAAGGGAUUAGAUACCCCAGUAGUC